AGGAGGAAGAUCAAGAAUCAGAAAACGAGAAGCUAGUGGUAAAGGAACCUGAAGAUGCAGAUGAAAAAUUCCCCUUUAAAUAUAGUCCUGGCAAACUGAGAGGAAACCAGUAUAAAACAAUGAUGACCAAAGACGAACUUGAAGAGGAACAAAGAACUGAAGACUAUAUGAAGUUAUCCCUAGACUCUUCCUAAGACUUAUCUUUUGGCAUUUUUAAAGGCUUGAGGAAAAAUAAAAGGGCCAAACCCCAAACACAACCGAAAAGUAUCCCUCAAAAUAUAAGACUUUCUGCUUGGCUGAAGCUGAGUUCCUCAGAUUCAUUCCUUGUAAUAUCAAGAUUGGAACAAGUUGGGGUGUCUGGUCUGGAGAAUUAUAUGGCUAGAGAAAAUAACAGACUACAUUGUGAGGGUUCUGUUCUUGGAUGUAAAGUAAGACCGCUGGGGGAAUAAAACAAGCAGACUUUGUUGUGUUUGGUACUCCAUAUCUGCAGUCCUCCCCCAAACAAAACAAAAAGAAAAAAAGAUUAACUAGAUAACCUGGACAAAAAUGAUCAGUUAUUGUACAAUGGACCUGUUUUCUGCCUGGAUGGUAGAACAAGCUAGAAUUGACCCCUUUUCACCUCUCUGUCCUGGACCAAAAAACCUUCUAGAUAAAUUUGAAGACAGAACUGUAAUAUAUUAAACCUUCUGAAGGUUCCUUCCACCCACAGAUGGAAGGCUGGUUGCAUGAUACAGACUCUGGCCUCUUGGAAAUGAAACAGUAUUUCAUCUUGGACAGAAGGAAGUCCUAAGAAACAAUAAAGAUUUACCCUAUAAUCCUAUAUCAUAUACACAUAAGUUUAGAAGUUUGUCCCACUGAAUUUAGUGGGGCAUACUCCUAAAUAAGAGUAUAGGAGUGCAGUCUUAGUAUAACAAUUUGUGACUAAUUUUAAUUACAAUGAUUAAAAGCACUUCAUUCGCUAAUUCUUUUGUUUACUUUCAAGCCUGUUCCCAAGAAUGGAAUCUGAAAAUGUGAGCUAUGGAAUGUAAAAUGGCCCCUUGGUUACCAAUUUUACAUUUCCUAAACAAGAUUAAAGAUACAUCAUUUUUUUUGUGUUGUGUCACUAUUCUGUCACCACAUCAAUUUUGAUGUUUUACUGAUAAUCACUUCCUGUUUGAUAGAUUGGAUUUUUUUAAAAAAUGUUGCUCUCCUAUAUUUUGAGGGAAAGCUUCAUAAUCCAUCCCCAGUAACUUUCUGAAACAAAAUCGUUAUUAUUUGGAAAUACUUGAAAUUAUUUAGUCAAUCAUUCUUUGGGACACAUAGGUUUAAGAACUGUUUUCCUCUAGACUAAUUCCCUCUCCCCCGCCCCCAGGCUUAUUUAAGAAACAGUAGGAAGCUUUGACAUAAUUAUUUUUUAAACGGUAAGCUUCCAUUCCUAUAUCUUUUUUCACUAAUAUAGUACAGUUUGCAACCCAAUCCCAUUCAUAUAAGGACACUCUGCUUUGAGAUAUUUGUUAGCAACCACUUUGCCUCCAAUUCACAUUGAUAGACUCAGUGUUCAAAACACCAUUAACUAUGCAAAGAAUGCCUUAUAUACAAUAUAAUCUUUCAGUAUGCAGCAAUACAUAUAUAAGGAAAAUGCCUAGUGGCAAUGAGCAAAGCUAUCUCUUCAAUAAUGACAAAUAAUGCUGUCUGAGUGGGGGGGGGGAUUUGUUUUGUUUUUUUUCUAAAUAUGAAGGUAGAUCUUGUAUAAAGGAUUAUAUAAUUUCUAGCAGUUUCAAAAUGUAUAUUGCCAUUUUUCAGUUCAAUAAACAUUUAAAUAGUU